rnacentral:rRNA from 1 species
UGAGGAAUAUUGCGCAAUGGGCGAAAGCCUGACGCAGCGAUGCCGCGUGAGCGAUGAAGGCCUUCGGGUCGUAAAGCUCUUUUCCAGGUGACGAGGAAGGACGGUAGCCUGGGAAUAAGUCUCGGCUAACUACGUGCCAGCAGCCGCGGUAAAACGUAGGAGGCGAGCGUUAUCCGGAGUUACUGGGCGUAAAGCGCGUGCAGGCGGCCUUGAAGGUCAGAUGUGAAAGCUCCCAGGCUAAACCGGGAGAGGUCAUUUGAAACCGCAAGGCUAGAGAGCAGGAGAGGGGCAUAGAAUUCCGGGUGUAGUGGUGAAAUGCGUAGAGAUCCGGAGGAAUACCAGAGGCGAAGGCGGUGCCCUGGCCUGCUACUGACGCUGAGACGCGAAAGCAUGGGGAGCGAACGGGAUUAGAUACCCCCGUAGUCC